ensembl:misc_RNA Y_RNA Y RNA
GGCUGGCCCCAGUGCAGUGGUUUUUGUACCAAUCGAUCAUAACCAGUUAGAUUUCUUUGUUCUUAUCCCAGUCCACUACUUCACUGGACUAGGCAAAC